ACUGAAUGUGUGACCUUUCUCAACCAAGUGAACCAACCAGCAGUUCGGCACAGCCCGUAGAGCAGCAAACGUACUACAGUAGUACAUGCCAAUACUUGGAUAUCAAAGGCGGCGAUGAGGGACCAGGGCGAGGAGGAGCUCGGCGGCGCUAGGCUUUCGCCCUCGAGUCGCGCGACGCAAGGUUACUGGAGAAUGAUCUCUGGCCAUGGACCACCACACACAGACUCUCAUGGAAAACAGAGUAGGAACUUGACACCAUUUUCAGCACUCUAUCACUACAAGAACCAUGGAAGGCAACCA